rnacentral:lncRNA from 1 species
UAAAAAAUUGCAAACAGUUUUCUUGUGAGCCAUGUGUAACACAUCUCAUUUAGUUGAGGUGGCCAUUAGUGAAACUCUUAAGUGGUGGGUUGAGAAAAGGAUGUAGGCACGAGUUAUGGUCGAACCUCUCUAUAUUUUGGGCACUCUUUCUCUUCUUUCACUAUAAUGAGAUGAGUAUAAUAAUUACCAUGGGAUCCCAAAAC